GACGUAGGGCGCGAGCGUUGUCCGGAUUUAUUGGGCGUAAAGAGCUCGUAGGCGGUCUGUCGCGUCGGAUGUGAAAAUCCAGGGCUCAACCCUGGACCUGCAUUCGAUACGGGCAGACUAGAGGUAGGCAGGGGAGAGCGGAACUCCUGGUGUAGCGGUGGAAUGCGCAGAUAUCAAGAGGAACACCUGAGGUGAAGACGGGUUGCUGGGCCAACACUGACGCUGAUGCGCGAAAGCCAGGGAGCAAACGGG
rnacentral:rRNA from 1 species